rnacentral:rRNA from 1 species
CCUACGGGAGGCAGCAGUAGGGAAUUUUCCACAAUGGGCGAAAGCCUGAUGGAGCAAUACCGCGUGCAGGAUGAAGGCCUUCGGGCCGUAAACUGCUUUUAUGUGCGAAGAAUUUGACGGUAACACAUGAAUAAGGAUCGGCUAACUACGUGCCAGCAGCCGCGGUCAUACGUAGGGUCCAAGCGUUAUCCGGAAUUACUGGGCGUAAAGAGUUGCGUAGGUGGCAUUAUAAGUGGAGCGUGAAAGCGUGCGGCUCAACCGCAUUAUUGCGUUCCAAACUGUGAAGCUUGAGUAUGGGAGAGGUAGAUGGAAUUUCUAGUGUAGGAGUGAAAUCCGUAGAUAUUAGAAGGAACACCGAUGGCGUAGGCAGUCUACUGGCCCAUUACUGACACUAAGGCACGAAAGCGUGGGGAGCAAACGGGAUUAGAUACCCCGGUAGUCCACGCUGUAAACUAUGAUGNUAGCUGUGACACACACUCGACUCGUGUCGU